AGUGAACGCUGGCGGUAGGCCUAACACAUGCAAGUCGAACGGCAGCACAGUAAGAGCUUGCUCUUACGGGUGGCGAGUGGCGGACGGGUGAGGAAUACAUCGGAAUCUACUUUUUCGUGGGGGAUAACGUAGGGAAACUUACGCUAAUACCGCAUACGACCUACGGGUGAAAGCAGGGGAUCUUCGGACCUUGCGCGAUUGAAUGAGCCGAUGUCGGAUUAGCUAGUUGGCGGGGUAAAGGCCCACCAAGGCGACGAUCCGUAGCUGGUCUGAGAGGAUGAACAGCCACAAUGGAAAUGGAGAAAGGUCCCAAAUCCUACGGGAGGCAGCAGUGGGGAAUAUUGGACAAUGGGCGCAAGCCUGAUCCAGCCAUACCGCGUGGGUGAAGAAGGCCUUCGGGUUGUAAAGCCCUUUUGUUGGGAAAGAAAAGCAGCAGGUUAAUACCCCGCUGUUCUGACGGUACCCAAAGAAUAAGCACCGGCUAACUUCGUG
rnacentral:rRNA from 1 species